rnacentral:rRNA from 1 species
UAGGGAAUCUUCCGCAAUGGACGAAAGUCUGACGGAGCAACGCCGCGUGAGUGAAGAAGGAUUUCGGUUCGUAAAACUCUGUUGUUAGGGAAGAAAAAAUGUAUAGUAACUAUAUACAAAAGAGACGGUACCUAACCAGAAAGCCACGGCUAACUACGUGCCAGCAGCCGCGGUAAUACGUAGGUGGCAAGCGUUGUCCGGAAUUAUUGGGCGUAAAGCGCGCGCAGGUGGUUUAGAAAGUCUGAUGUGAAAGCCCACGGCUCAACCGUGGAGGGUCAUUGGAAACUAAUAAACUUGAGUGCAGGAGAGAAAAGUGGAAUUCCUAGUGUAGCGGUGAAAUGCGUAGAGAUUAGGAGGAACACCGGUGGCGAAAGCGGCUUUUUGGCCUGCAACUGACACUGAGGCGCGAAAGCGUGGAGAGCAAACAGG